AUAAAAAUAAUUGGGAGUACAAAUGAAUUCGGUAUGUUUUUUGUAAUCAAAGAAGUGAUUUUAUUUAAAAAAAAAAAAUACAUCAUUUAAAUUAUUAUUCUUCGGAAUUCGCUACUUUACAUCUUCUCCUUGGUAACUAUGAAAUACCAUGUCCAAAAAAUGAGUUCUGUCUGUCCUUGAUCCCAUCCUUGAGCGAUUCAUCGACUUCCUCAAGAGACCGGAACCGUUGAGCUGCUGAAGCAAUAUUUCGGCCGAGUUCCUUCUCCAAUUUGUGUUGUGUGUCUUGAUGUUUUUCCAACAAAUGUAGGGGACUACAGGGGCCAUAGUAUUACCUUUCAUACAAAAAUAUCAAGCAGUACUUUUUUUUAGUUAUUUUUGAUGUUGACUUUGUCUUUUAAAGAUAUAAUGAUUUGUUGUUCUUUUUUUCUUCUUACCUAUUUACCUCGGAUAUAAAGAAAACUACACAUAUUUUUCAAAUUUUUUGCUAAUAUUAUGAAAAAUUGUUUUCUAAAUACUUACUCUUUGAUCCAACCGCUAAUUCCAAAAUCAAAUACACUAUUUGAAAAUCCAACUAACAAUUUUAAAAAUCUUAAUUGAUCUUCUUUUCGUUAUGCAAAUUCGAAUUUACUUAACGUUAUUCGCUAAAAGUUUAAAGUAAAUUCGGUUACGUAAAACUGUAAAUGCCGUUUUUAAAAGCUUUUUUUAAUAAUAGAGAUGAGCUUUCAUUUCAUGCUAGAAAUGCAUUUAGAUGGGUACCGACAGCAAUUUGAAAGAUCAACUUUCUAUAACUUUGAACGUUAGUCUGGUCUCACUGGCGAACUCACGACCCUACGCAAAAAUUCCUGAGACGCAGAAAAGUCACUUAAUUACCAUUCAUACAAAAAUUUCGAUUUUUGAUUUUACAUAAGUAAUUACUGUAGUAGAUUGUGAGAGGGAAGCAAGUAGCUUUUGACAAGAAAAAUAAAAAAAUGAAUGUUUGAAAAUAUGUAGGAAAUUUGCUUCGAUUGUUGUUCCACUUUUUUUCAAUAAGGCCAAUUAUAUUAUUAUUUAACUGUAUUUCAUACUUAUCUUGGAGCAAAUAAGUCAAAAGACGCCCAUCAUUUAAUCGAAACUGUCAUUGCUAAAAUGAGCGUAACGCCAAAGAAAAACAGUCGUGGUAGAAGAGCUGUGAGUUGGAACAAACGGAUUGACGGUCUGGAAGGUUUUGUUGUGUGUUUCGUGAGAUUAGCAAGGAUUUGCAGACUAUGAUCUACCUACAUCGAUAGUGACUCACUGGACGCUCCAAGUGAUUACCAUAUGUUCCUGUCAAUAGCAAAUAAUCUAGCUGCUAAGGAAUAGACCUCAUAUAAGCUCGUGGAAAAGGUUCUACCCAUUUUUUGCUAACAGGGACAAAGGGUUGCUAUGAGAGAGGCAUAAUUAGGCAUUAUCUUCAAACGGCAAAAAUAUAUCGAAAAUCUUAACCAUGUUAUGGAAAGAACAAAUUUCGCAAGUUUUACAAAUUUUACAGUGAAUGUGGUGAGAAAGAAAAAUGGAUUAUGUAAAAUGCAUACGAUUACGUACAGCACCGUGCUAUGAGCAAUUUAAGUUUCAAUUUCAAAAAACAAAAGCUUGAGCUUGCUAAUUUUACUCAAUUUAAAUAUUUACCCUUUACAAAAAAGUAUUUAAGCAAUGUUAUCUUUUAACAAAGGUUUUCGUCGUUAUGGAAUUCAUUGCACUUAUGACGGUGACGUAACGAAUGUAUGUAUGUAAAUAUGCAUAUUUUAAAUGCUUAGCAAUGUAAUUAGAUACAUAUUAUGCUCUCAUUAAACUUUUCUCAAAAAAGAACGCUUCUGAAGAAGGUCUACAAUUCAUCGCAGUUAUGAGUGGGCAUCGGGUAUGUGAAAAGAUGUAACGAAAGUCAUGAAAUUCGAUAUGAGGUAGCACACAAGUGGAUAACAAUUAAAUUUUUGCACAUUUAAACGAAUUUAUGUCCAUAUAUAUGUGUGUGUUUGUAAAUAGUUUUAUGUAAGCAGAUGCAUGAAUAUAUUUUGGCAUAUACUUAGAAUAGAUAGGCA